GGAUCCAGACUUUGAUUAUGGCUCAGGAUGAACGCUGGCGGCGUGCUUAACACAUGCAAGUCGAACGAUGAGAGGGAGCUUGCUUCCUGGAUUAGUGGCGAACGGGUGAGUAACACGUGAGUAACCUGCCCUUGACUCUGGGAUAAGCACUGGAAACGGUGUCUAAUACCGGAUACGAACUUCAGCCGCAUGGCUAGGAGUUGGAAAGAAUUUCGGUCAAGGAUGGACUCGCGGCCUAUCAGCUAGUUGGUGAGGUAAUGGCCCACCAAGGCGACGACGGGUAGCCGGCCUGAGAGGGUGACCGGCCACACUGGGACUGAGACACGGCCCAGACUCCUACGGGAGGCAGCAGUGGGGAAUAUUGCACAAUGGGCGCAAGCCUGAUGCAGCAACGCCGCGUGAGGGACGACGGCCUUCGGGUUGUAAACCUCUUUUAGUAGGGAAGAAGCGAAAGUGACGGUACCUGCAGAAAAAGCACCGGCUAACUACGUGCCAGCAGCCGCGGUAAUACGUAGGGUGCAAGCGUUAUCCGGAAUUAUUGGGCGUAAAGAGCUCGUAGGCGGUUUGUCGCGUCUGCUGUGAAAACUGGGGGCUCAACCCCCAGCCUGCAGUGGGUACGGGCAGACUAGAGUGCGGUAGGGGAGAUUGGAAUUCCUGGUGUAGCGGUGGAAUGCGCAGAUAUCAGGAGGAACACCAAUGGCGAAGGCAGAUCUCUGGGCCGUAACUGACGCUGAGGAGCGAAAGCAUGGGGAGCGAACAGGAUUAGAUACCCUGGUAGUCCAUGCCGUAAACGUUGGGAACUAGAUGUAGGGUCCAUUCCACGGAUUCUGUGUCGCAGCUAACGCAUUAAGUUCCCCGCCUGGGGAGUACGGCCGCAAGGCUAAAACUCAAAGGAAUUGACGGGGGCCCGCACAAGCGGCGGAGCAUGCGGAUUAAUUCGAUGCAACGCGAAGAACCUUACCAAGGCUUGACAUAUACCGGAAACGGCUGGAAACGGUCGCCCCGCAAGGUCGGUAUACAGGUGGUGCAUGGUUGUCGUCAGCUCGUGUCGUGAGAUGUUGGGUUAAGUCCCGCAACGAGCGCAACCC
rnacentral:rRNA from 1 species